rnacentral:rRNA from 1 species
UUUAAUGGCCGCAGUAUUUUGACUGUGCAAAGGUAGCAUAAUCAAUAGUUUCUUAAUUAGAAGCUGGAAUGAAAGGUUGAACGAAAAAAUAACUGUCUCUUUGAUAAAUUUAUAGAAUUUUAUUUUUAAGUUAAAAAGCUUAAAUAUAUUUAAAAGACGAGAAGACCCUAUAGAGUUUGAUAUAUUUAUUUGUAUUAUUUUUUUAAUAAUAAUUUUAAUUAUACGUGUAAAUUUAUUUAAUUGGGGUGAUUAAAAAAUUUAUAUAACUUUUUUUUUAUAAUAACAUAAUUAUAUGAAAUGUUGAUCCAUUAUUUAUUUGUUUAUUUAUGAUUAAAAGAUUAAAUUACCUUAGGGAUAACAGCGUAAUUUUUUUUUAGAGUYCAAAUCGAUAAAAAAGUUUGCGACCUCGAUGUUGGAUUAAAAUUUAUAUUUGGUGUAGAAGCUGAAUUAUUGGGUCUGUUCGACCUUUAAAAUUUUACAUGAUCUGAGUUUAAACCGGUGUGAGCCAGGUUGGUUUCUAUCUUUAAAUUAAGUUAGUAUUUUAGUACGAAAGGACCAAAUAUUAUUAAUAGUUAAAAAGUUUAUGAGUAAUAUUAAUAA